UCGAAAUAAAAUGCAGCCACAAAACCUUAAUUCACCACACUAAUUUAUCUCUACUCGGCAUUCAUUUAGAGCCUACCUCGCGGUUCAAUGUCAUUCAAUAAGAUUGCAUAUGUCAUUUCAACUUGUCAUUUAGUUAAUGCCAUUCAGUUCCCUGCGGUAAGCCUUAACCCUAAUAACAAAUCGACUGUGGUAGCACAUUGCUUGUUAGGGGUGGCGAUACAUUAUUUGAAUAUAUGAAUUGGGUGAUGUUAGUGAUUCAUCCCACUGUUUGUCGUGAAUUGAGAUUUGUGUAUGAUGUUUGUAAGAUUGCUAAAAAUUUCAUAUUUUUUAUUGUUCCAGUUGAAUUUCUUGCUUGUGGAAGAUAAAACAAAAGUUCAAUUCCAUGUUGAUAUAAUUCUUUUUUUCCCUUUAUAGUCAUGCUCUAGCUUUGGUGCUAUGCUUAGUGCAGUUUAUGGUUUCAAGAUUAAGUCAGGUUUAUUUGAUGGCGCGUCGAUUCCGUCAUUGAGGAUUGGAUUGUUGAUCAAAUGCACAUAGUAAGCUCUUCUUAUUUUAUCUCCGUUUCAAUUUUCUUUUUUUAUCUGCAUCUGCCUGAAAAUGGAAAUGUUUUACUAGUAAGCAUAGACUUUAUUUAUUUAGUUGAUAUUUUAAUUUUAUGUAUAAGAAUGGAGCUUUAUUUUGGGAAAAAAAAAGGAAAUAAAGAAAUAGACUCUGCCGAAGCAAAUUAGUACAAAAUUCUUUUAUGGUACGACCAGAGGUAGAAACAGGGUAUGAAAAUGUGCUACUUGCGAGGUUGCUGUUUAAGAUGAGAAUGCCUUCUUUUAGAAAAUCCUUGGUAAGUGUUAUAUAAUUAUAUUUGAUGGAAUAUUAAAUGGCUAAAAACCUGUCAUACGUUCAAACUUUGUUUGUGUUUAGAAGAAUGGUGUUUGAUUGUGUAUUCAUUUGCUUAGCCUUUUGACAGAUUGAUUUAGAACUGACGACAAAUGUGAUUCAAUUUACAAGGUUUUAGAGGGGCUUACAGUGGAAGGGAUAUUGAAGAACUGGUCUAAGAUAAAACCUAUGAUUAUGAAAGAUUGCGGUGAGAAUAUAGAUGCUCUUUUUCAUCUUUUUGGCAAGGUCAGAGAUGAAUGAAUGGAUAAGGAUUUGACUACUUGGACUGGUGCUAAUAGGUAUUUUAAAUAAGCUUUUUGAGAUAACACUGAACAAGUUGUACUACUAUUCUUUACAUGAUGAUCAAAACUCUCGAAAAAUAAAAUAAAAUAAAAUAAAAUAAAGUAGUAACUUUUACUUUCAUCUUUUGCAUAGCAAUCAAUGUGGUGCUUGUUCUGUGACAACUUUGAGAAUUUACUUAAUUAUUGGUUAUUAUUUGGACCGAAAAAGUUCUUAUGAUUUGCAUGUUUUGCAGAAAUGCAUGAAUCUGAAAUGUGCUUUCAGGGAGUACAAUUAUUGCACCUUAAAAUUCAUUUAUCGUUAACUAAUUGGCUUCCUUUUGCAUAAAGCUGCUUAUGAAGCUUGAGUUGACGCCUUUGUGGGAAUAUUAUUUGUAUUUCUUUAUGCAUGCCUUAUCAUUUAAUGGUCAGCUCCCUUUCCUCUUUUGUAAUUUGAAUAAUAGUAUGGGCCUUUAUUUUAUAAAUCUUCAACAUUUUUUGCUGUAAAUUAAUUUGUUUUUCAGAUAUUUUGGAGCUCAUUGGAAUUCUUGUAGGCCUAUUGUUAGAGUGCAAUUUAUGCACUAGUUUUGCAUUGUUUACUUCCCUUAAUAUCGAUGUUUUGCACUUAAUAAUAAUGUUUUACUUGUGUUUUACUUUUGUAGGUGCAAUUCUAUUGAUUGGUGAUAAAAUUGAGCUAAAAGAUGAUGUUUAAGGAGGAUUGUUCUCUUGGAGAAAUUAUGAGCGUCAGAAGAACUUUGUUGAUAAGGCGUGGGCGCGUGCUGUCAACUGCGGACCUGCAGUUUUUAGUUUAACGUGUUUUGUAUUUUUGGUUAUUUUUGUAAUUACGAACUUAAUAUUUCAUAUAUUAGUAUUUUAUUUUAAAUAGAAUUCUAAAAGAGAAGAGAGAGAAAGUAUUUAAGGGAGGAAUCUAUUGUGAAAAAGGGGGGAUUUUGGAUUGGAGAGAAAGAAACCCUAGAUCUAAUUUUUCUCUUCUCUCUAUGAGGAACUAAACCCAUUUUUCUGGUUGAAGGAUAAUGAAGCUUUGAUUCAUCACUACUGUGAGAUUUUUCUUGUGCUUUAAUUGUUUUAUUGCUUUUUGGGUAUUUGUUUAUUCUCUGAAUUUUCUUCAUGAUUAUGUUUGUUAAUUAGGUAAUUGGCCACUAUUUAAUUAUCAACUUAAUUUAUUGUCAAUUAGAGGAUUCAUCGUAUGAAGAAUUUAAUGUUUGUGACAAAUAACAUAGCAGAGAGUUGUGUUGUGAGAAUAAACAAUCUAAUUUAAAUGAAUCAUCAUAUGUGUUGAUUAGGAUUUGGGUCUCUCUGGUUUUUCAGGCUGUCAAUUGAUUAAAUCCUAUGAUCGUAUCUAGGGUUGUCCAUUGAUUAGGGAAAUAACCAACGGUCGUACCUUGGUUAUCGACUAGUUAAGGAGAGAUUGGCUAUUAGAGGGUCUCAAUAGCUAUAACCGGUCUAUUCAUAAGUAAUAAUAAUCUAUAUUUGAAUCAAUGAUCAGUAGUCGAAUCAAGGUGAGUUAAUUCCUUCAACCAGAGCUUUCUCCAAUUUGAAUUACAACUUUAAUUUGCAUUCUUGUUAUUUCAAUUUGAUUUUUAUUAUUGUCAAUAAUUCCCCCAUUUUACGUUUUACAUUUCAAAAGGAUUUAAAUAAUUACCGAUCUCUGUGGACACGAUCCUGCUCAAUCACUAUACACAAUUUAUUUAGAGUAGGAAUUUAUUUUUGUUGGCUUCGACAACCAUCACCUAUUUACCGGAUUUUAGUAUGUAUAAGGUUUUAAUUUUGCUUAGAUUUUAAUUUUUCUGAAAGUUUGUAGUAUUGGUCCAUAAAGUAACAUCAUGCCACUUCAAAUUAUUUUGAAGUGUUGCUAGGUAUUGCCUUACAUAUCAAAUUCUAUUUGUCUGGAAAUUUGUUGAUAUUAGUUACAGCAGCAUAUUUUAUGACUUUACUUCUUAGUUAUGUAAGUUCAUUAUGUUUAGGUCAGAGGCGGUCAGCUAUGGGGAACCAAUAUAUACACAGAUGACUUUGAUCUUGUUGCUAGUAUGUGGUUCUAUGAAUAAUUGUUCACAAUAAUUGUCUUUGCCUCACUGUUUUUGUUAUAUGAGAUCUAUAAUUGAUCUUGGGAUAUUGCUUUCUAGUUCUCAUGCACGCAGGUUACUGCCAUCCCACUGCAUCUCCUCCUUAAUCUACGAUCCAAGAGUUGCGUGCCACAAUCUGGGUUUUACCUCUGCAAGAUUAUGAGUGAAUAUAAUGCCUUUAAAUUUUCUUUAUACAUGUUGCUAAGGCUGAAUAAUAUAGUGUAGCUCCUGUCUUAUUCUACUUUGUCUAUAUAUAUUCUGUUACAUAUAAAAAUCUUAUUCAACUUUAGUUGUUCAUGAGCAAAUGUCACAUGUAUGUCUGGCUGAUGUUUAAAGGUAGCACAGCUACCUUCAGUUUGAGCUUACAAUGGGUGAAAAAAAAAAUUGAAAUUGAUAUUUUGCUGUUUUUUUUAUUUUCCAAAGUAUUUUAGAUCUUGACUUUUGUUUGGACUUGAUGGUUAUAGAUUGUGUCUAGAUUUCUUAAGUUGUUUCCAACACCUCAUGCCAAAUUAAAGCACAAUCCUUAUGCGUGCGUUCACAAUUAGUAAGAAAAAUAUGUUUGGAUAGACUGCAGUAGGCAAAUUGGGAGCCAAUUUUAUGUCUUUGUUUGCAGAAUUAUUCGUCUCUAUGUUUGUCAUUGGCUUUCAACCCAAUAAUAGUUAUCAAAGAGUUGGACUUGAGAUAUUGGCUGAAGCAUAUUUGGAAUCUGAUUAAUUUUUCUUUAUUUAGCUAGUUGUAACUUAUGCUCUCUUUUUAUCUCUUUGCACUUCUGCAAUUUUCAUCACAAUGUUUGUUUUACUUAUGUGCAUUCCAUGAGUUUUGUUAGGUUACACGUCUGAACAAAGAAAUAAUGUACAUUCCCAUACCUGGGGGGCUGGAAGUGGUUAUAGUUACCGUGUUGAGAGGUGUUGCAUUGUGAAGAUGAUAAACUAGUUAUCUCUACCUUUUUUUGAUUCAGAUGUCUAGUUAAUUAUGCUUCAUUUUUUCGUUAAAGACUGGAUGGUUGCAUGGAUUGAUGGAGUUGGAGUUCAAUCAAUAAUUCUAAUCUUUUGGACUUAAAAUGCCUUUUUCUUUUGUACAAAAACUUUAGUAAGUGCUAUUGAGUUGGCAGAAGUUGAAUACUUACAGUUUGUUUCACACUUCAGCUACGAAUUUAUAUUUUUUGAAUUGUAGAAAGGAGGUGGAACUUUUGAUCUGGAUCCUUGUCUUACUGACUCAUCGACAGUGGAGCCUACCGUUGCUCCCAUGGUAGUGGAACGGACAAUGACUACUAGGGUUGUAGCAUCGGUUAGUUUGGAUUUGUAUUGAGUUUUAUUGUCAUUUAUUUAGGUAUGUUAGGUUGUUUUAAGAGCGAAUUUUGAUAUGUCAAUAUAAUGUAUAAUUGUUUUGGUUGAGCUUGUAAUUAUGCUGGAUUAGAUUGGUUUGAUUUUGGUGCUUCUCUGAUGGAAAACUGCUUUUUCGAAAAUUUUGAAUGUAAUAUGAGGCUACAUUUAGUUUAAUUGAACAUUGCAUCUAGUAUAUUUAUUUUAAAGUGUGAAUCCAGUGGCAUUUGGUUUGGUUUAUUCGAUAUUUAUCCAGAAUUUCACUCGCAUCUGGUUUUGUUGCAUAUGUUUACUGGCAUUUGAUGGCAGUACCAGACUAUGUUUGGUUUUGUGGCAUUUGAUGGCAGUACCAGACUAUGUUUGGUUUUGACUUAAGAUUGUUCCCGUUGUGCUGAUGUUAAUUCCCGGUGCUUGAAUCAGCUGGUGUUGCUGGUUUAUUUAGAUGGUUGACUCAGGCGGUGUUGCUGGUUGAUUCAGGUGGAUGACUCAAAUUGUUCAUUUAAGACUUGUAACUAUAAUGUUAG
rnacentral:lncRNA from 1 species